CCGCCCCUGCAGCGGGGGCUCGAGAACGCGCUGGGUUUUUUUCUCUCUCUUUUUGGUUUUUAAUUAAUGACCUCCGUGGGAAAAUAAUGCCAGAGGGUUGUGAACAGGAUGUCAGGGAGGGACUUCUCCAAACCCAGCCGCCCACGGGUGCCAGGUGCCCGGGGCACGGGGUUUCCGGUGGCUUCCGAAACGGGCUUUGAAGAGAAAUCCAAGCAGAUGCACUCGGGAGCCCCUGGGACCCCAUCUUUGUCAAAGCAGGAGUGGGGUGUGGUAUUGGGAGGGACCCCCCAAGGGGGCAGCUAGAGGCCCCCCAGAGCCAGCUGGGCCCUUCCAGAGGGGACCAGGCCAUCCCCAGCCGGCUCUGAUGGUGCCACCAGCACCCUGCCCAGUCCCCACCACGCUGACUGCCAGGAGAGGGGCUCCGACCUGCCACCCCCUCCCCGUGGCUCUUGGGGUGCCACGUGGGUGCAGUCUGUUCCCCCUGGUUUUCCUCCCUUCUAGAUCUUUCUCUCUUGCCUUCUAGGCCGAGGUGAAGGAAUAAAUGUCGUAGGAAUCAAGUUUAAAUGUUAGUAAACAAUUUAGAGCAAAGAUAAUCGCUGACGGAUGGCCAUGGAGUGAGAUCGUAAGGUCCUCGGUCGCACUGGCUGCCCGUCCAGGCGAGAGGCCACCUCAGAACAAGCCGGGAGAUCUUUCUGCUGCGAUUUAAACACAGCGGGACCCCCAGAGCUGGGCUGCGUGGGGUCCCCAGGGGGAGCACGGAGAGGCAGAAAUGGAACCCAGCUCUGGGGACAGAGGGACAGGGGGGCCUCCUGGUGGAGGUCAGGACUGGAUGAGGCCAGCAGGGUGGAGCCCCAGGAUGUUACCUGGUAGAGACCAGGGGACACUGGCGAGGUCCUGAACCACCUGCGGACUCUGCCAGCAAGGAGGCUGUCACCAGGGGUGGCACCUCAGCCUCGGGCCUCUUUUGUUUAUAACUCACCAAGUGUAUGGUGUCCUGUCCUUGGGAACAGGAAGUGGACUGGGGUCAUUCCCCUCUAGCCACAGCUCCGUGGGGUUCAUGGGACUCUAAAACCCCUCCCUAAGAUGACCCUAAGAGGAGCCAGAGUCCCCGCUCCUCCCUCUCCCCAGCCUCCCUUCCUGCAGACUUGAACUAACAUUUGGCCCUGGCUCGGGAUCUCGGCUUUUGUUAGCUUCAACAGUCACCCCUCAAGGAGGAGCUGACCCUAGGUCCCAGUCACCAGGGAGCACCGCCAAGGGAUGAGAAAACUGAGGCCCAGGCGGGAUUAAGGGACAGAGGAGGCAAAAAUAUUAAUGAGGAGGAUUUCGACCAUCCCAGUUAGUGCUGUCAGGAGGAACGUUCGUUCUCUGCUUCUGCAAGGUGGAAGGGAGCCUUAUUGGGGGAACACUUCCAGUAGUUCCUCUUCUUCUCCUUGGCUCCAGAUUCUGGGCUCCUGCUGGUGUUUGCAACAUAGGCGCUCAAGAUCCCCUGCCCGCCUCCCUGGGACCCACCCCAUUGCUCCAUCUGCUUGGAAUGUUGAUCACCUACAGGAUGAUGAAGAUCCAGCCGCAGGCCCACCACGAACCCUUUCUGUGGUCUUGGCACAGUGUAGCAACCAGGGGCUGGGGUUGCGCUCAGCGGUGGAGCGCUCGCCUAGCACGUUCGAGGACCUGGGUUCGAUCCUCAGCACCAAAUAAAAAUAAAUAAAAUAAAAGUA